rnacentral:rRNA from 1 species
AUACCCUAUUAUUUUUAUUGUAAAAUUUUAAGCUAAAGUAUUAAUAGUUAUGUUCUUGAAACUUAAAGAAUUUGGCGGUAUUAUAGUCUAUUUAGAGGAAUCUGUUAUGUAAUUGAUACUCCACAUUGAACCUUACUUAUAUUAUUAUUUUUGUAUAUCGCUGUUUAAGAAAAUAUUUUUAAAUAAUUUUCUAACUAUAAUAUUAAUUAAUAUUUCAAGUCAAGGUGCAGUUAUAUAUAAGUUGAAUAAUGGAUUACAAUAAAAUUUAUUUAUUAUGGAUAAUUAUUGAAAUAUAAUUUGAAGGUGGAUUUAAUUGUAAUUUUAUAAAGAUUAUCAAAAUGAUUUAUAGCUCUAUAAUAUGUACACAUCGCCC